rnacentral:rRNA from 1 species
GUGGGGAAUCUUGCGCAAUGGGCGAAAGCCUGACGCAGCCAUGCCGCGUGAAUGAUGAAGGUCUUAGGAUUGUAAAAUUCUUUCACCGGGGACGAUAAUGACGGUACCCGGAGAAGAAGCCCCGGCUAACUUCGUGCCAGCAGCCGCGGUAAUACGAAGGGGGCUAGCGUUGCUCGGAAUUACUGGGCGUAAAGGGCGCGUAGGCGGACAGUUUAGUCAGAGGUGAAAGCCCAGGGCUCAACCUUGGAAUUGCCUUUGAUACUGACUGUCUUGAGUUUGGGAGAGGUGAGUGGAACUCCGAGUGUAGAGGUGAAAUUCGUAGAUAUUCGGAAGAACACCAGUGGCGAAGGCGACUCACUGGCCCAAUACUGACGCUGAGGCGCGAAAGCGUGGGGAGCAAACAGGAUUAGAUACCCCAGUAGUCC